AAUGUUGUUGAGGUGCUUGGGGGGGGGCGUGGUGUUUUCUCAGGUAACAUACAAAGAGCUAGGGCUUUUAGGGGCAUUGCACUUUGCUUGUUGAGAGGCAAUGAGGCUGUGUAUGGAUAUUGCGGUGCCACUGCUGGCUAUGGUGCACAUGACCUACAUCUGUGAAGCAGGUAAGUGUCCAUAUAUUAUCUGUAUUAUAAGUAUCUUUAAACCCCUGAACUGGAAACAGCUCAGUUGCAGGUGUUUCAAGAACAAAUAAUGGAAUUGGUCAUUUAAUUGCCACAUGAGCGUUUCAAAGCACCUUAUAAUGGCUAUACAAGUAAGUUAUUUUAACAUCUGUCUCUCUGUAAGACUCAGAGCUGGUGAUCCAUAUCAAAGUGAUGGUGUUGCAAGGACAAAAGAAAAACAAAUAUAUGGAGUAAAAAUGUACUCAUAUUUGAUUUGAUAUUAUUUGACUUGGUUCUAUCACUAUUUUCACCAUUGUCAUCCGGUACUACAUUUCACAUUGAUAUUUUAGUUACUUAGGACAUUAUUCCUAUGGACAUUAAGUACUGUGUGUUGGUGCAAAUAUUCCUCUGUGGGUUUUUUGUUGUUUUUGUAGCUCUGCUGAGGAAAUCCACAGCGGCUGACUUCCUAAGACCAGUAAGAGAGAAGCGUGCUGCAGAGUGUUUCCCUGCAGGCUGCAGUAUGGAGGACAGUGAUGCUGAGGAGCUACUGGAGGCCAACUCACACUACAAGGACAGUCCGAAGAUGCUGUUGAAUGGUGGCACUGGGGCAGGGGUGAACUCGAGUCCUGGUAGUGAGGCUACGGUGGAGGAAGGCUCAGGGAUGUAGCCCUGGGAUGUACUGUUGCAUCAUCAGGCCAACGCCAGGAGAGCUGCAGCAGACAGACAGGAGAUGCAUGGGUCUUAUCUAUAACGAAUGACAAAAUGCAAGGCCAAAUAUUCCACUUUAUUAAUCAUUAUCUUUUGGGAUGGGUGGAAUUAUAAAAACUUUAAAUAAUGGAAAUAUAGAAUUCCAGGGUCUUUGUGAAAGAUGGAUUUAUUAUAAUAUUGUUAUUGUCUCUGCUUUGUCAAACCAUUUGAUUUAUGAUUUGGGAGUCUACUAAGAUUUGUUUCACAGUACUUCUUGAUUUUUAACAAAAAACGGCUAACACUUGUUAUAUUAGUUAAAGAAUCAUAUAAUUGCCUACCUUCAUAUUGGUGCUUCGUAAGAAUGGUGCUCAGUACCUCAUUUAUUUUGCAAGUUAUCUUUGUAGAAUCAUAGAUCUUAAACUGCAUAGGUACAGCUCUUUAUAAGCCAUGAAUUGUCCAAAUGAAAUAUUUCCCACUUUGACAGUUAAGAAUGGUAAAACUCGAACUAUGAGAAGUAAUUGAAGUUGAUAUACUAAAUUAUAUUAUGUGGAGCAAUGGAAAAUAUUUGUAUAAUAUUUUGACAAUGUACUUUUUGAAGAUUUGCAAACAAAAUGCUUUUACCAUUUACAACUAAUUUUACAAAAUUCCAUUGUAAUGUGCCUACUCCCAAGUCAAAAAUUAUAGGGAAUUAUCCCUGACCUGUAUCACCUGUAUUUAAACAUCCAACUUACUGAUUUAGAAAUAUAUAGGCAGGCCUACUUUAGAAAUGUCUGUGUAAAUAUCUCAAUAAAUGCAUAUUUUAAUCAA
ensembl:lncRNA